rnacentral:rRNA from 1 species
AACGAACGCUGGCGGCAUGCCUAACACAUGCAAGUCGAACGAGACCUUCGGGUCUAGUGGCGCACGGGUGCGUAACGCGUGGGAACCUGCCCGUAGGUUCCGAAUAACUCCCCGUAAGGGGUGCUAAUACCGGAUAAUGUCUUCGGACCAAAGAUUUAUCGCCUUUGGAUGGGCAGGCGUUGGAUUAGCCAGUUGGUAGGGUAAAAGCCUACCAAGGCGACGAUCCAUAGCUGGUCUGAGAGGAUGAUCAGCCACACUGGGACUGAGACACGGCCCAGACUCUUACGGGAGGCAGCAGUGGGGAAUAUUGGACAAUGGGCGAAAGCCUGAUCCAGCAAUGCCGCGUGAGUGAUGAAGGCCUUAGGGUUGUAAAGCUCUUUUACCCGGGAUGAUAAUGACAGUACCGGGAGAAUAAGCUCCGGCUAACUCCGUG